UGGGGAAUUUUGCACAAUGGGGGAAACCCUGAUGCAGCGACGCCGCGUGAUUUAGAAGGCCUUCGGGUCGUAAAAAUCUUUUGUAUGGGAAGAAAAUGACAGUACCAUACGAAUAAGGACCGGCUAAUUACGUGCCAGCAGCCGCGGUAAUACGUAAGGUCCGAGCGUUGUCCGGAAUCAUUGGGCGUAAAGGGUACGUAGGCGGAUAAGCAAGUUAGAAGUGAAAUCCUAUAGCUCAACUAUAGUAAGCUUUUAAAACUGCUCAUCUUGAGGUAUGGAAGGGAAAGUGGAAUUCCUAGUGUAGCGGUGAAAUGCGCAGAUAUUAGGAGGAAUACCGGUGGCGAAGGCGACUUUCUGGCCAUAUACUGACGCUGAGGUACGAAAGCGUGGGUAGCAAACAGG
rnacentral:rRNA from 1 species